ensembl:snoRNA SNORA70 Small nucleolar RNA SNORA70
CUGCGGUUAACUAAGCUGACCAUGCUCCUUUCCUCAUGGGGGCCUGGUGUGCAAUGGCUGCAAACAGCGGGCUCCUUGGUAAUGUAUCCGGCCUAUUGCUUUUAUAGGUUGCUCUAAGGGACCUUGGCGACACUC